rnacentral:rRNA from 1 species
AGUAGAGCGGCGCACGGGUGAGUAACGCGUAGGUGAUCUACCCUUUGGAUCGGGAUAACAGUUGGAAACGGCUGCUAAUACCGGAUAUACUCCAUAUUUAGCUUUAUGGGGGAAAGGUGGCCUCUGCAUGCAAGCUACCACCAAAGGAUGAACCUGCGUCUCAUUAGCUUGUUGGUGGGGUAAUGGCCUACCAAGGCGACGAUGAGUAGCUGGUCUGAGAGGAUGAUCAGCCACACUGGGACUGGAACACGGCCCAGACUCCUACGGGAGGCAGCAGUGGGGAAUAUUGCGCAAUGGGCGAAAGCCUGACGCAGCGACGCCGCGUGAGGGAAGAAGGCUCUCGGGUCGUAAACCUCUGUCAGAAGGGAAGAAACCCUUGAGGUCGAAUAGGCUUCUUGGCUGACGGUACCUUCAGAGGAAGCACCGGCUAAUUCCGUGCCAGCAGCCGCGGUAAUACGGAAGGUGCAAGCGUUAAUCGGAAUCACUGGGCGUAAAGCGCGCGUAGGCGGCGCGGUCAGUCAGAUGUGAAAGCCCUCGGCUCAACCGGGGAAUUGCAUUUGAAACUGCCGUGCUUGAGUACUGGAGAGGCAGGCGGAAUUCCAGGUGUAGGAGUGAAAUCCGUAGAUAUCUGGAGGAACACCAGUGGCGAAGGCGGCCUGCUGGACAGAUACUGACGCUGAGGUGCGAAAGCGUGGGUAGCAAACAGGAUUAGAUACCCUGGUAGUCCACGCUGUAAACGAUGGAUGCUAGGUGUCGGGGGGUCCACCCUCGGUGCCGCAGUUAACGCGUUAAGCAUCCCG